rnacentral:rRNA from 1 species
CCUACGGGGAGCAGCAGUGGGGGAUAUUGCACAAUGGGGGAAACCCUGAUGCAGCGACGCCGCGUGGGUGAAGAAGCGCCUCGGCGCGUAAAGCCCUGUCAGCAGGGAAGAAAAUGACUGUACCUGAAGAAGAAGCCCCGGCUAACUACGUGCCAGCAGCCGCGGUAAUACGUAGGGGGCAAGCGUUAUCCGGAUUUACUGGGUGUAAAGGGGGCGCAGACGGCGAUGCAAGCCAGGAGUGAAAGCCCGGGGCCCAACCCCGGGACUGCUCGUGGAACUGCGGGGCUAGAGUGCAGGAGGGGCAGGCGGAAUUCCUGGUGUAGCGGUGAAAUGCGUAGAUAUCAGGAGGAACACCGGUGGCGAAGGCGGCCUGCUGGACUGCAACUGACGUUGAGGCCCGAAAGCGUGGGGAGCAAACAGGAUUAGAUACCCCUGUAGUC